GGGGUUAUGGCUCAGCGUUACAGCGCUCGCCUGGCACGUGAGAGGCCCUGGGUUCAAUCCUCAGCACCA
rnacentral:tRNA from 1 species